UAAUAAUAAUAAUAAUAAUAAUAAUAAUAAUAAUAAUUCGACUGAACUGGUUAGGCACAAACAAAACUAAAAUAUACCAAACACAAAACUGAACUGAACACAAAAUCAAACAAAACCAAACCAAACCGAAAAUCAAAGAGAACCAAACCAAACACAAGGUAAUUUGAUUUGAUUUAAGUUAAGGUUCUCUUAGACUCAAAUAAACCAAACUAAAUCGAACCUAAACAGAACCCAUAGUUAAACUGAAAUAUCCACUUCUUAUAAAACCGAGUAGCUGCUGACAUGACACCAUUUGUCAAUACUAUAUGUUUUAAAAAUUUUCAAGAAGAUUUACCCUGCGCAAGGCGCAGGUCUUAUCCUAGUAUACUACUAAACCAGCA
rnacentral:lncRNA from 1 species